rnacentral:rRNA from 1 species
AACGAACGCUGGCGGCAGGCUUAACACAUGCAAGUCGAACGCAUCGCAAGAUGAGUGGCAGACGGGUGAGUAACGCGUGGGAACAUACCCUUUUCUACGGAAUAGCUCUGGGAAACUGGAAUUAAUACCGUAUACGCCCUACGGGGGAAAGUUUUAUCGGGGAAGGAUCGGCCCGCGUUGGAUUAGCUAGUUGGUGGGGUAAAGGCCUACCAAGGCGACGAGCCAUAGCUGGGCUGAGAGGAUGAUCAGCCACAUUGGGACUGAGACACGGCCCAAACUCCUACGGGAGGCAGCAGUGGGGAAUAUUGGACAAUGGGCGCAAGCCUGAUCCAGCCAUGCCGCGUGAGUGAUGAAGGCCUUAGGGUUGUAAAGCUCUUUCACCGAUGAAGAUAAUGACGGUAGUCGGAGAAGAAGCCCCGGCUAACUUCGUGCCAGCAGCCGCCGUAAAAC